rnacentral:rRNA from 1 species
UACGUAGGUGGCGAGCGUUGUCCGGAUUUAUUGGGCGUAAAGGGCGCGCAGGUGGUGCGGUAAGACUGCCGUGAAAUCUCCCGGCUCAACUGGGAGGGGGCGGUGGAGACUGCCGGACUAGAGGCACUCAGAGGCCGGUGGAAUUCCCGGUGUAGUGGUGAAAUGCGUAGAGAUCCGGAGGAACACCGACGGCGCAGGCAGCGUCCUGGCCGCUUGCUGACACUGAGGCACGAAAGCUGGGGGAGCAAACAGG